UACGGAGGGUGCAAGCGUUAUCCGGAUUUACUGGGUUUAAAGGGUGCGUAGGUGGACAGGAAAGUCAGUGGUGAAAUCUUCGAGCUUAACUCGGAAACUGCCAUUGAUACUAUUUGUCUUGAAUACUUUGGAGGUAAGCGGAAUAUGUCAUGUAGCGGUGCAAUGCUUAGAUAUGGCAUAGAACACCAAUUGCGAAGGCAGCUUACUACACAGUUUUUGACACUGAGGCCCGAAAGCGUGUGGAUCAAACAGG
rnacentral:rRNA from 1 species